AAAUCUGGCACCUUCGGUGUCCGAGUUGUAAUUUGAAGAAGGUAACUUUGGAGUUGGCUCUUGUCUAUGUUCCUUGGAACAGGACGUCACAGAGGGUGAGAAUCCCGUGCGAUGAGAUGUCCAACUCUAUGUAAAGUGCUUUCGAAGAGUCGAGUUGUUUGGGAAUGCAGCUCUAAGUGGGUGGUAAAUUCCAUCUAAAGCUAAAUAUUGGCGAGAGACCGAUAGCGAACAAGUACAGUGAUGGAAAGAUGAAAAGAACUUUGAAAAGAGAGUGAAAAAGUACGUGAAAUUGUUGAAAGGGAAGGGUUUGAGAUCAGACUUGGUAUUUUGUAUGUCUUGCUUUCGGGUGGGGCCUCUGCAGUUUACUGGGCCAGCAUCGGUUUGGACGGUAGGAUAAUGACAUUGGAAUGUGGCACUACUUCGGUGGUGUGUUAUAGACUUUGUUGAUACUGCCUGUCUAGACCGAGGACUGCGUCUUUGACUAGGAUGCUGGCAUAAUGAUCCUAAACCGCC
rnacentral:rRNA from 1 species